rnacentral:tRNA from 1 species
GGGAGCUUAGUUAAGUGGCAUAACUGUUGUCUCCAAAACAACGGUCGGGGGUUCGAUUCCCUCAGCUCCCG